rnacentral:rRNA from 1 species
CUAAACAUCCAGCUUAAUUUCUAAAACCUAAACCCAAUCUUAAUAAAACAUUCUCACAUUUUAGUAAGGGUGAUUAAAAAAUUAAUAAACGCCUCAAAUAUGGUACCGUAAGGGAACGAUGAAAUAAUAAUGAAAUAACUUAAAGCUUAACACAGCAAAGACUAACACUUGUACCUUUUGCAUCAUGACCGAGCCAGUUUAAUCAAGCAAAAAGUAAACUUCAGUUUGACCUCCCGAAGCUGAGUGAGCUACUUCAAAAUAGUCUUUAGGACAAACCCGUCCCUGUUGCAAAAGGGUGGGAAAAUUUACAGUAGCAGUGAAAAGCUAAUCGAACUCAGAGAUAGCUGGUUAUCCAAGAAAAGAAUUUAAGUUCUACCCUAAGUUUACUCAUUAAAUUAAACAAAGUACUAAACUUAAGAGCUACUCAAAUAAGGCACAGCUUAUUUGAUCUAGGACACAACCUCGUAUCCCGGGUAACAUAUUUAACACCAAUAAGUAAGCCUAAAAGCAGCUUAAAAAGCGUUAAAGCUUUCACACCUUAUUUUUACUAAUACCACACAAUAUUCUAAACCCUUAACCACUAUUGGAUGACUCUAUAAAUUUAUGGAAGACAUCAUGCUUAGAUUAGUAAUAAGAAUAUGAAAUUCUCCUAAAUGUAAAUAUAAGCCACACCAGACAAACUAACGGCAAUUAACACUAAUGAACCCAUUACAACAACUUCACCAGAAAAACUUGUAACUUACAAUGUUAACCUAACACAAGCACAUUUCAGGAAAGAUUAAAAGGAAGAGAAGGAACUCGGCAAAUUAUAACCCCGCCUGUUUACCAAAAACAUCGCCUCUUGAUUAAACAUAAGAGGUCCAGCCUGCCCAGUGAUUAUUUAACGGCCGCGGUAUCCUAACCGUGCUAAGGUAGCACAAUUACUUGUUCUUUAAUUUAGGACUAGAAUGAAUGGCAUCACGAGGGUUACACUGUCUCCUCUCCCCAAUCAAUGAAAUUGACCUCCCCGUGAAAAGGCGGGAAUCAUACUAUAAGACGAGAAGACCCCAUGGAGCUUUAGACACCGAACAAAUUUAAACCAAACCCCUCAAGUUUAAAAUACAUGUCUCUAAGUCUUUGGUUGGGGCGACCAUGGAGUAAAAAACAACCUCCAUAAUGAAUAUAUAUUUAAGAACUACACCUCUAAGAAACAGUAUACUGACGUUUAAUGAUCCAGACCACUGAUCAAUGAACCAAGUUACCCUGGGGAUAACAGCGCAAUCUACCUUAAGAGUCCAUAUCGACAGGCAGGUUUACGACCUCGAUGUUGGAUCAGGAUACCCCAGUGGUGCAGCCGCUACAUAAGGUUCGUUUGUUCA